AGAGUUUGAUCCUGGCUCAGAACGAACGCUGGCGGCGUGGAUAAGACAUGCAAGUCGGACGAGAUUUUCUGUUGUAGCAAUACGAUGGAACGUCUAGUGGCGAACGGGUGCUUAACACGUGGGCAACCUGCCGGGAAGUGGGGGAUAGCUCGCCGAAAGGCGAAUUAAUACCGCAUGUGAUUAGAGAGGACAUCCUUUCGAAAUUAAAGUCGGGGCAACCUGACGCUUCUUGUGGGGCCCGCGGCCUAUCAGCUAGUUGGUGAGGUAACGGCUCACCAAGGCUUUGACGGGUAGCUGGUCUGAGAGGACGACCAGCCACACUGGGACUGAGACACGGCCCAGACACCUACGGGUGGCAGCAGUCGAGAAUUUUUGACAAUGGGGGAAACCCUGAUCGAGCGACGCCGCGUGGAGGAUGAAGGUCUUCGGAUUGUAAACUAGCUGUCAUUGGGGAACAAUGCGCAAAUAUUAACUGUAUUUGUGUUGAUAGACCCCGAAGAGAAAAACCU
rnacentral:rRNA from 1 species